rnacentral:rRNA from 1 species
UACGAAGGGGGCUAGCGUUGUUCGGAAUUACUGGGCGUAAAGCGCACGCAGGCGGUGCGGUCAGUCAGAAGUGAAAGCCCCGGGCUUAACCUGGGAACUGCUUUUGAUACUGCCGCGCUUGAAUCACGGAGAGGGUAGUGGAAUUCCGAGUGUAGAGGUGAAAUUCGUAGAUAUUCGGAAGAACACCAGUGGCGAAGGCGACUACCUGGCCGUCGAUUGACGCUCAUGUGCGAAAGCGUGGGGAGCGAUCGG